AUUGAACGCUGGCGGGAGGCCUAACACAUGCAAGUCGAGCGAGCGGCGGACGGGUGAGUAAUGUAUGGGGACUGCCCGAUAGAGGGGGCUAACUACUGGAAACGGUGGCUAAUACCGCAUAAUAUCGGAUAACCAAUAUGGGAUUAUCUAGUAGGUGGGGUAAAGGCUCACCUAGGCGACGAUCUCUAGCUGGUCUGAGAGGAUGAUCACCCACACUGGGACUGAGACACGGCCCAGACUCCUACGGAGGCAGCCGUGGGGAAUAUUGCACAAUGGGCGCAAGCCUGAUGCAGCCAUGCCGCGUGUAUGAAUAAGGCCUUAGGGUUGUAAAGUACUUUCAGCGGGGAUGCGUUACCCGCAGAAGAAGCACCGGCUAACUCCAUGCCAGCAGCAGAGGUAAUAC
rnacentral:rRNA from 1 species